AGUAAAAAGAAAAAAAAAAUUAUUUUUGGAAAGGAUAAGUAUUACACGUAGCUUUGAGAUCAGAAUUCACCAAUUUGCAAAUAAAAAAUUAUUUUUGUAAUAGUAAAAUGAAUAAAAAAAUGAAUAGUACAAAUGAAUAGUAAAAAUGAAUAGUAAAUUUUUUUACUAUAAAUAGCCAAGGGGGGAGGCUGAAAAUUUACACCAAAGAACUUAGAAAAAUGUUGAGAGAAGAGAGUUGGAAGAAUUUCUAAUUGCAAAGGGGAUAUUCUGGAAGUUUUCAGAGAGCGAGGAGAUUAAGUCUGUAAUAGAGAUAAUGUUGCAGAUGCGGUUGAAAAAGCUUAGAGAUGAGAGAGAUGCGGGGAAAAACUUUCAGGGAUUUUUGUAAAAAUAAUAAAUUUGUAUUGGGAAGAUUAUGUUGUGUAAAACUUAUAAGUUGAAAUUUCAAUGGUGAAGACUAUAUUGUUUAAAGUUUGAAAGUUUGGUAUUGUACUUUGGAGUAAUUGAAAUAAAGUUUGAUUGUUUAUAUGAGA